GAUGAACGCUGGCGGCGUGCCUAAUACAGGAAAGUCGAGCGAACGGACGCGAAGCUUGCUUCUCUGAUGUUAGCGGCGGACGGGUGAGUAACACGUGGAUCCUUUACCUAUCAGACUGGGAUCACUUCGGGAAACCGUAGCUAAUCCCGGAUAAUAUUUUGCACCGCAUGGUUCAAAAGUGAAAGACGGUCUUGCUGUCACUUAUAGCUGGAUCCGCGCUGCAUUAGCUAGUUGUUAAGGUAACGGCUUAUCAAGGUAAGGAUGCAUAGCCGACCUGUGAGGGGGAUAGGCCACACUGGAACUGAGACACGGUCCAGACUCCUACGGGAGGCAGCAGUAGGGAAGCUUCCGCAAUGGGCGAAAGCCUGACGGAGCAACGCCGCGUGAGUGAUGAAGGUCUUCGGAGCGUAAAACUCUGUUAUGAGGGAAGAACAUAUGUGUAAGGAACUGUGCACAUCUUGACGGUACCGAAUCAGAAAGCCCCGGCUAACUACGUC
rnacentral:rRNA from 1 species